rnacentral:rRNA from 1 species
AGUGAACGCUGGCGGCAGGCCUAACACAUGCAAGUCGAGCGGCAGCGCGGGGGCAACCCUGGCGGCGAGCGGCGGACGGGUGAGGAAUGCGUCGGAAUCUGCCUCUUUGUGGGGGAUAACGUAGGGAAACUUACGCUAAUACCGCAUACGACCUACGGGUGAAAGUGGGGGACCUUCGGGCCUCACGCAGAGAGAUGAGCCGACGCCGGAUUAGCUAGUUGGCGGGGUAAAGGCCCACCAAGGCGACGAUCCGUAGCUGGUCUGAGAGGAUGAGCAGCCACGCUGGAAAUGAGACACGGUCCAGACUCCUACGGGAGGCAGCAGUGGGGAAUAUUGGGAAAUGGGCGCAAGCCUGAUCCGGCCAUGCCGCGUGUGUGAAGAAGGCCUUCGGGUUGUAAAGCACUUUUGUCCGGAAAGAAAGGCAUCCAGUUAAUACCUGGGUGUUAUGACGGUACCGGAAGAAUAAGCACCGGCUAACUUCGUGCCAGCCGCCGCGGUAAUAC